CCCAGUUCGGACUGUGGUCUGCAACCCGACCACACGAAGCUGGAAUCGCUAGUAAUCGCGGAUCAGAAUGCCGCGGUGAAUACGUUCCCGGGUCUUGUACACACCGCCCGUCACACCAUGGGAGUCAGCAACGCCCGAAGUCAGUGACCCAACCAUUAUAGGAGGGAGCUGCCGAAGGCGGGGCAGGUGACUGGGGUGAAGUCGUAACAAGGUACC
rnacentral:rRNA from 1 species